rnacentral:rRNA from 1 species
UACGGAGGGUGCGAGCGUUGUCCGGAAUCACUGGGCGUAAAGCGCACGUAGGCGGCUUGUUAAGUCAGGGGUGAAAUCCUGGAGCUCAACUCCAGAACUGCCUUUGAUACUGGCGAGCUUGAGUCCGGGAGAGGUGAGUGGAACUGCGAGUGUAGAGGUGAAAUUCGUAGAUAUUCGCAAGAACACCAGUGGCGAAGGCGGCUCACUGGCCCGUAACUGACGCUGAGGCACGAAAGCGUGGGGAGCAAACAGG